rnacentral:rRNA from 1 species
AGUGAACGCUGGCGGUAGGCCUAACACAUGCAAGUCGAACGGCAGCACAGUAAGAGCUUGCUCUUACGGGUGGCGAGUGGCGGACGGGUGAGGAAUACAUCGGAAUCUACUUUUUCGUGGGGGAUAACGUAGGGAAACUUACGCUAAUACCGCAUACGACCUACGGGUGAAAGCAGGGGAUCUUCGGACCUUGCGCGAUUGAAUGAGCCGAUGUCGGAUUAGCUAGUUGGCGGGGUAAAGGCCCACCAAGGCGACGAUCCGUAGCUGGUCUGAGAGGAUGAUCGGCCCCACUGGAAUUGAGACACGGGCCAGACCCCCACGGGGGGGAGAGGGGGGGAAGAUUGGACAAGGGGGGCAAGCCUGAUCCAGCCAUACCGGGUGGGAGAAGAAGGCCUUCGGGUUGUAAAGCCCUUUUGUUGGGAAAAAAAAGCAGCAGGUUAAUCCCCCGCUGUUCGGACGGUACCCAAAAAAUAAACACCGGCUAACUUCGU